UUCGAUCUUCGAUCCGUCUUCGGAAACGCGAUCUACGCGUAAGGAUCUACAUUUUUACCGAUCGUUUUGAGGUAAUGGGUUACUUGGAACUUGCUUAAGACUACCCAGACCAUGGAUUUUGGUUUGGUGAAUUUUGUAAUGCAUUGUAUGGGGGUGUCUAAGAGACCUAGUGCUUAAUAUCCGCGCAGCCAAGACAUUGAUGCUUUGGUUGCAGGCUCUGCGGAUAUAGAUAUUGACUCGUUCACCUAGCGUAUGGGAUACUAUGAUUGGAGCACAUCGCAACAGUCAUAAGUCACGGACUCAUGGGUAGUUCGCAUUUUGGGUAUUUUAUCUAUGGCCCGUGUCCUACGGGGCACAUGUAUUUGUUGAGCCUAUAUUUUAGAAUGUAAUUAGUGUAAUUUGUUAUAUAAGCCUUAAAUAGAUAGACUUGUAAAUGGCUCUUUGUUGUAAUUAACUGUUGUGUAUUAGAUGUACUUCCGCUUAUGAUAUGUGUUCCGCUGCACAUUGAUUACUA